rnacentral:rRNA from 1 species
GCUAAAUAGCUAGCCCUCUCAUCCAAAUACAACAAACCAAAUUAAUAAACCCCCAUGUACUAAUCAAACACAAACAAAACAUUUUACCCCCUUAGUAUAGGCGAUAGAAAAGGACUUUUAGGCGCAAUAGAAAGAGUACCGCAAGGGAAAGCUGAAAGAGAGAUGAAAAAGUUCAAUUAAAGCACAAAAAAGCAGAGACUUAACCUCGUACUU